rnacentral:lncRNA from 1 species
GGACCAGAAGGUAUUGAGAGAGUGUUAGGGUUUAGGAAUAGAUUAGAGGGGUUAGGAAAGGGAAUUGAACAGUUUACAAUAUAUUGAACAAGCAGGAAUGAACAUAUAAGCUUAACAUGAGAAGUAGUGAUAUAAAGCAUACCAUAGUUCUGAAUACAAGUGAUUAGUUACACGUUCUAAUAUACUUGCACACCUGAAACAGUUCUAUAUUGAUUUUACUUAUGAUUUGUUCAAUAAGAAAAGAAUGUUUAAUCAAAACCCCUGAUUCAUAAGAUAUAUGACCCUUUGGGGUGGCAGCUCCUGGUAUGUGGGAGUUGAAUUGGUAUUAAUACCUGGUGGCAGCGAAAAAAGGCGAGUUUACCUUUGUGGAGUCCAAAGAAAUAAGGGGCGCAAAGGGGCAUCACCACAGCAUGCAUCUCUCUUUUUGCUUCUCUUGCAGGCUGCUGUCCCAAACACACUUACCAGAGUCCCCACUGAACACAAUGGACUGCACCUCUUGUGCUGUCAUUGUUUGAACUACUUCAGGCUGCAAUCGUACACCAUUUAUGAGGCUAUCCAGCAAGAAAUACCCAUUGAUGCAGAUACUGAAAAUAUCUACUCAAAACAAAAGAAUCAGCAACUGAAGAAAAGUGGAACAAACCAGAAUGACAGCGGUAAUGUGGCCAUGUAAAUGACCCCUAAGUUAUAGGAAUACAUCACUUAAAAAAUAAAAAGU